GGGCCUGUAGCUCAGUUGGUUAGAGCAUCCCGCUGAUAACGGGAAGGUGAGUGGUUCGAUUCCACUCAGGCCCA
rnacentral:tRNA from 1 species